CCCUUAGAUGUUCUGGGCCGCACGCGUGCUACACUGAGUGGAUCAGCGGGUCAGGUUGCGCGAAAGCGUUUCCUAAUCUUUAAAUCCGCUCGUGAUGGGGAUUGACGGUUGCAAUUUUCUGUCAUGAACGAGGAAUACCUUGUAAGCGUGGGUCAUCAUCCCGCGCUGAAUACGUCCCUGCCCUUUGUACACACCGCCCGUCGCUCCUACCGAUUGAGUGGUCCGGUGAGGCUUUGGGAUCUGAGCGGAAAGAGCGUUUCGCUGUUUCUGCUCGGAAAACUCAGUCGAACCUUAUCAUUUAGAGGAAGGAGAAGUCGUAACA
rnacentral:rRNA from 1 species